rnacentral:rRNA from 1 species
UACGUAGGGUGCAAGCGUUGUCCGGAAUUAUUGGGCGUAAAGAGCUCGUAGGCGGCCUGUCGCGUCGGCUGUGAAAACUCAGGGCUCAACCCUGAGCCUGCAGUCGAUACGGGCAGGCUAGAGUCCGGCAGGGGAGACUGGAAUUCCUGGUGUAGCGGUGAAAUGCGCAGAUAUCAGGAGGAACACCGGUGGCGAAGGCGGGUCUCUGGGCCGUAACUGACGCUGAGGAGCGAAAGCAUGGGUAGCGAACAGG